AUGCCCAGUUAGAUAUGAAUUUCAGAUAAACAGUGAAUAAUUUUGUAGUAAAAAUUUGUCCCUGGCAAUAUUUGGGACAUACUUACACUAAAAAAAUUAUGCAUUGUUUAUCUGAACUUCAAAUUUAACUGGGCAUCAUGCA
rnacentral:miRNA from 1 species